AUGCCACCUGGCACAGCAUAUAGACGUUUCACACUGUGGCGCAUUCCAGUGGUUAACAUGUUGCCAGUGACAAUUACACUCAUCCUUCCCAGCAACACAAUGAACUCCCUUUGUCCCAAAAUGUCUAUUGCGAAACUUCCAAGAGUCAUUCAAGAAGUCCUGGGAAACAUAGUUCAUGUACUUUCGUGGAAUCUUGAAAGUAAACUGAUGAUGGUUGAAAUUGUGAAUCUCCAACACAUAAGGGUCUUUAGAACUCUCUCCCUUGAAAAACAACCUUUGCCGGUUUCUUGGUUCGCUGCGAUUGGCGAUGACCCACAGGCUCAAGAUGUCUGUCUGUCUUCGGUGUGUCCAUUGGUCCUUUAGACUCUCCCGCAAACAGUAAUUCCAAUUGACCAAAUCUGGUGUUUUCCUGAGGUAAAUCUUUUGUUAAGGCACAGUCACUUUUCAAACCAUAACUCUUUAUAACAACAUUCAUUUCUUUAUAGUGCUCAAGUAAAUUAUUCUCAUCAAUGACUGGCACUUAUACAUUCUUCACCACCUCAGUUUGCUCCACUCCUGUGUCACUACGGCACUGAACAGGGAUCUCAGCCACUGGUGCCUCAUUUGCCUCAGCCUCGCAAUGAAUCUCAAGCUGCAACUCGGACAAUUUCUCUUGGAGGUCUACGAUUCCUCCAUCUCCAGCAGAACCCUCUGCUUGGUUGAAAUGAGAGCUUAUAAGAUCAUUAGGGUCGUUGUUUUGAGAUGCCUUCGACUCUAAAGGAUAAACUUCUACUUUAUAGUACUUGAAAUACUCUCCAUACUCCACAACCUUUCUCUCAAUUGGUCGCUGUCCCUCUAUACAUCCAUACCAAUUGACUAACUUAUUCCAGGCUACAAUAGGAAUCACCUCAUAGUCCACUUUUGUCGCACCUCAGGCUAAGUUCACCUUGCUAUAGAUACCCAGUCAGACACACAGGUAGUCUUUUGAGGUUUUUUAUUAAGCAAAGCAGAAUAUAAAUCAAGCAAGCAAUCAAAAGGUAAUUCAAAGUUGUAGUGAAAGAGUCAAUAGGUCCAAUAGAUUCACAAGAUAUAUAAAUGUCUAAUAAUCCAAAAGGCUAGGUCCAUAGGUUCAAAGAGCAUAGCAAGUACAAUAAUCCACAAGGCAAGGUAUUAGUCCAUAGAGUCCAAAGAACAAGGCCCAAGGAUCCAAGAACACUGGCAAGGUAAAACAUCCACACAGAUGAAGCGAUUAAUUGCUCUGACAAAGAGUAAUCUGUAAAAACACACUUUAAUAACAACUCAGAAAGGCGUUUCUUUUCCCACAGCUAGACUUUUUCCCACAGCUAGACUCUCGUUUGCGCACUAAACGCUCACUUCUACGAAACUGGGAACCCAUCCAAGACAAACGGUCCUCUCUGGAUAACUCAUUGCCUGCGCUACCGUUAUCUUGCACCUGGCCUGGAGCUAAACCGUUUCCCUCAUUAUUUUCCAAAGCUGAAGUCUCUCCCUCAUCAUUUCUCAAGGGAAGAAUGUCAGCCUGACCGUUAUCUGUUUCUCCUGGAAUCAGCAGUUCAUCCUGCUCAAACCGAAACUGCAUGUCUGAGCUAACUUCAGCCUCAGACUGCUGAUCUUGAAUCCCAAAACCAGAAUCCCCUUCGUCUUCAUCCAGAAUCUGGCCAGCCUGUGGCUAGGAUACAAUAACUUUAUUAAUGCGAUAUUUUUUCAAAGUCUGAGUUUCCGAAUCCACAAAAAGCUUCGCGUUGUCAAUGGGUCCUGGGUAGUGAUUAGGCUUUCCCGCAUAAUACAGAUCCCAGAGUUCAAAACCCAUGUACUUCUUCCACUUCAUGAACCACUUAAAGUCAAUCAGGCACCAAGAAUCCCCUGAGCACAAUGGCAUUUUCAAAGUGGUGCGAGCUCAAUCCGCUGCAUCUCCACAUCCUCCUCCUCCUUAGUGUAUUUAGGAAACCUCUUUAAGGCUAAAUCACUAGGAUUAAUAAUGGGAGUCCAUGGUGGUGACACCACAGAAGGCUGAGAGAGUAUCAACCUUUGUCUUUCUAUUUCUAACUCCAUUUUUCUCAACUCUGCCUGUCUUUCUCUCUUUCUUUCUUCUGCCUGUCUGUCUUUUUCCUUCUCUCUUUCUUUUGCCUGUCUGCCUUUCUUUUUCUCUCUUUCUUCCAUUUCUAAUCUCCUUAGUUCCAGUUGAUAUUUAAGAGUCAAUUCUGACAUGGUUACUUGCUUUGAGUCAGAACUUUCUUCCCCCUGACACACCUCUGUUACCUUUUUCUGUCUUUUGGUGGCCAUUUUCUACAAAUUUUACCUCACAAAUUUCUCUGUGAGCGAUCUUAGGCACCAAAUUGGAGAUGUUACUCGAAAUAUCCCGCCACUUGCCGCCAAUUUGUGGAGAACUCAGGCAGGGGGAAUAUUUUGAAAUCCCACCGCUGCCACCAAAUGUAAAGAACUCAGGCAGAGGGGAAUCUUUUUAAAAAAUCCCACCUCUGACACCGAUUGUGUAGAAGGAUGAUGUUUCUAUUAAUUAAUUAUUAUAUAUAUUAUAUAUAUCCGCUGCCACCAGUUAUUAAAGAUGUCUUGUUUAAACGCAUGACUGGACUUAACGUCAGGGGAAAACCUUUACCUUACCUAAUUUAUAUUGUGUCCCAUUUGCCAUCCCACCCCUGCAAUAAGAGACCAGACAGCAGUGUAGAUUGAAACAUGGCCAACUUUUAUGUAAAACAUCUGAAUUAACUUUACACCUAUCCCUUUCCCCUACUCCCUCCCCCCUUCCCACUCCUUCUCACCCUUUUUACCCUUCACUAACUCUCACAAUCUCUCUCCUUUUUAUUUCUUCCUUUCUCCCUAUCUUAUUUCUUCCUUUCUCCCUAUCUCCCCUUCUUCCUUCUUCUUGACCAGAAUCGGAGCGCACUUGGAUUGAAUCUUCGCUCUCAGUUUCAGAGGUCUUUCUUCUUCUUAAUUGAGAUUGCAUUAUUUUCUUCUCAAUGCUAAGGAUAUCCUUCAUACAUUUGUUGAUUUCAUCAGUGCUUUUCAGCAACUGUUCCAGCAUUUUUGUAUGAUGCUUUAUCCAUUCAUUUUCCGUUUCUAAAGCGCCUGGUGUCUCUCUCAUGGCCUGACUGGCCUGGGAAAAAUGACAAACAAGAUCAUUUUAUUAACUUAAGGAAAAGAUCUUGGAAUCUGAAAACAAGAUGAUCACAAAGUUAUAUAAAAAAACUAUUGGAAUGGGACACUGAAACAGAGCAUGUAAAGAUAUGCAUGACCCAAUGGGCAAGGGAUAUUGGAAGACCAAUCUUGUAUGAAGAAUGGGAAAAGAUCUGGAAUAAAAAUAUAAAAUUCAACUACGUCUCGGACCUAAAAGAAAACCAGUACAAAAUGAUGUAUAGAUAGUACAUAACACCGAAAAAGUUAGGACAUUAUAAGAAAGAUAUACGCACAAAAUGCUGGAAAUGCCAGGAGCAAGAGGGAAAUUUCUUCCAUAUGUGGUGGGCAUGCACAAAAACAAAGAAGUACUGGAAAGAAAUACACAAAGAAUGCCGAAAAAUACUGAAAAAAAGACAUUCCAUUCAGACCAGAAUUAUACCUGUUAGGGCUGACAAAUACAAAAUUAGGAACAAAUGAGGAAAGGAUCCUAAAUUAUCUAGUCACGAGUGCCAGAAUUGUUUUUGCUAGACUAUGGAGACUAAACCAAAUACCAAUGAUGGAUCAAUGGCUAUUGAAGAUAUGGGACAUAAGGAACAUGGAUAAACUGACAUUCCUAAUGAAGAAACAACAAGGGAGUCCAAUGAAAGAAACGGACUGGUCGAAUUUCGAGGAAUACAUAAGACAAAGAAAGGAAUAAAAGCAUCCUAAGAAACAGGAUAUUAGACAAAAAGUGAAGAAAACACUUAAAGAAUAGUAGGGCAACUGGUAUAAGAAGAAACGGAAAUUCACUGACGGAAACCUGCAGAGUUCACCAAAAGAAGAAGUCCCACUCCUAAUCAAAUCAUCCCACAUACUCCUUCGCCCUCCCCCCCUACCCUGCAUGAAGCCCCCCUUUCCCUACACCCCCCCCAAGCCAACUCACCCCCCUUCCCCCACUGUGUGAUUAAUCCCCCGGUUUUAAACAAUGUAAUAAAAGCUUUCAAUAAAAAGUAUUAAAAAAACUUAAGGAAAAAACAAAUAAACAGAGGUUUAUCAAAACGGCCAUUUUACUAUCCCUAUCUUUGUGUCUCUUAACAGAAGCUUGAUGUGUAGAUAGUAAGCAUAGAAAGCAUAGAAAUCUUACCUUAACGUUUUUCAUAAGUUUCCGUAAAAUGUAGCAUGUAGAUAUACCAAUCACGGUGAUGAGUAGCAACGCACCACAAAUAAACAUCUCUAUGGUCUUUUCUGUAAUGUCUAAACCAAAAAUGCUAGUACAGACAUUGGAAGGAUCCCUCUUCCACAGCUGCUGUCGUUCCUGUGGUGGCAAAUCGAAACCAGUUGUUGCCCAGGCUGGUAUUUCAUGACUGAGAACAUUCUCCACGAAGACGACAGACCCCAACAGAAGCACAAAAGAGCAGCCUCC
rnacentral:lncRNA from 1 species